rnacentral:rRNA from 1 species
UGGGGUAAAGGCCUACCAAGGCGACGAUCUGUAGCGGGUCUGAGAGGAUGAUCCGCCACACUGGGACUGAGACACGGCCCAGACUCCUACGGGAGGCAGCAGUGGGGAAUAUUGGACAAUGGGGGGAACCCUGAUCCAGCCACGCCGCGUGUGUGAAGAAGGCCUUAUGGUUGUAAAGCACUUUAAGCGAGGAGGAGGCUACUGAGACUAAUACUCUUGGAUAGUGGACGUUACUCGCAGAAUAAGCACCGGCUAACUCUGUGCCAGCAGCCGCGGUAAUACAGAGGGUGCGAGCGUUAAUCGGAUUUACUGGGCGUAAAGCGUGCGUAGGCGGCUUUUUAAGUCGGAUGUGAAAUCCCCGAGCUUAACUUGGGAAUUGCAUUCGAUACUGGGAAGCUAGAGUAUGGGAGAGGAUGGUAGAAUUCCAGGUGUAGCGGUGAAAUGCGUAGAGAUCUGGAGGAAUACCGAUGGCGAAGGCAGCCAUCUGGCCUAAUACUGACGCUGAGGUACGAAAGCAUGGGGAGCAAACAGGAUUAGAUACCCUGGUAGUCCAUGCCGUAAACGAUGUCUACUAGCCGUUGGGGCCUUUGAGGCUUUAGUGGCGCAGCUAACGCGAUAAGUAGACCGCCUGGGGAGUACGGUCGCAAGACUAAAACUCAAAUGAAUUGACGG